UUGGCCCUGAGUCAAGGCCUGCAGUUUGCCGAAACUGCUGGUUUCAAGCGGGACCCUAAAGAAAAAUCUUUCUGUGGUCUGUUGAUCAUUUCGGAAUUUUGUAAGUGGAAUGGUCAGUUCAUUAGAAAGAAACAUCU